rnacentral:tRNA from 1 species
UCUGGGGAUGUCAUUCAAUGGUAGAACACUUGCCUAGUGUGCAUGAGGUCCUGGGUUUGAUUCUCAGUGCAGAA